rnacentral:pre_miRNA from 2 species
UGCAUACUUUCUUUGUCUGAAAAUACUUGUCCGAAAGAUGGCUGUAUCUAGACAUAUUUUAGUUUUAGAUACAUUUAUUUAUAUUCAUUUUUAAAACAAGUAAUUUCGGACGGACGGAGUACUAG